ACCCGCUGAACUUAAGCAUAUCAAUAAGCGGAGGAAAAGAAACCAACAGGGAUUGCCUUAGUAACGGCGAGUGAAGCGGCAACAGCUCAAAUUUGAAAUCUGGCUCCCUUGGGGGCCCGAGUUGUAAUUUGUAGAGGAUGCUUCGGCGUGGGCCCCGGUCUAAGUUCCUUGGAACAGGACGUCACAGAGGGUGAGAAUCCCGUACGUGGCCGUGGGUGCUCGCCAUGUGAAGCUCCUUCGACGAGUCGAGUUGUUUGGGAAUGCAGCUCUAAAUGGGAGGUAAAUUUCUUCUAAAGCUAAAUACUGGCCAGAGACCGAUAGCGCACAAGUAGAGUGAUCGAAAGAUGAAAAGCACUUUGGAAAGAGAGUCAAAAAGUACGUGAAAUUGUUGAAAGGGAAGCGCUUGCAACCAGACCUGCCUGCGGUUGCUCAUCCGGGCUCUUGCCCGGUGCACUCUUCCGCAGUCAGGCCAGCAUCAGCUCUGGCGGUCGGAUAAAGGCGGCGGGAAUGUGGCUCCCCUCGGGGAGUGUUAUAGCCCGCCGUGCAAUGCGGCCAGCCGGGACUGAGGUCCGCGCUUCGGCUAGGAUGCUGGCGUAAUGGUUGUAAGCGGCCCGUCUUGAAACACGGACCAAGGAGUCUAACAUCUGUGCGAGUGUUUGGGUGUCAAGCCCAGGCGCGUAAUGAAAGUGAACGGAGGCGGGAACCUUCGGGUGCACCGUCGACCGAUCCUGAUGUCUUCGGAUGGAUUUGAGUAAGAGCAUAGCUGUUGGGACCCGAAAGAUGGUGAACUAUGCCUGAAUAGGGUGAAGCCAGAGGAAACUCUGGUGGAGGCUCGCAGCGGUUCUGACGUGCAAAUCGAUCGUCAAAUUUGGGCAUAGGGGCGAAAGACUAAUC
rnacentral:rRNA from 1 species